GCAUAUCAAUAAGCGGAGGAAAAGAAACCAACAGGGAUUGCCCUUAGUAACGGCGAAGUGAAGCGGCAACAGCUCAAAUUUGAAAUCUGGCUUCGGCCCGAGUUGUAAUUUGCAGAGGUAAGCUUUAGGCGCGGCACCUUCUGAGUCCCCUGGAACGGGGCGCCAUAGAGGGUGAGAGCCCCGUAUAGUUGGAUGCCUAGCCUGUGUAAAGCUCCUUCGACGAGUCGAGUAGUUUGGGAAUGCUGCUCAAAAUGGGAGGUAAAUUUCUUCUAAAGCUAAAUACCGGCCAGAGACCGAUAGCGCACAAGUAGAGUGAUCGAAAGAUGAAAAGCACUUUGAAAAGAGGGUUAAAUAGCACGUGAAAUUGUUGAAAGGGAAGCGCUUGUGACCAGACUUGCGCCGGGCUGAUCAUCCGGUGUUCUCACCGGUGCACUCUGCCCGGCUCAGGCCAGCAUCGGUUCUCGCGGGGGGAUAAAGGCCCUGGGAAUGUAGCUCCUCCGGGAGUGUUAUAGCCCGGGGUGUAAUGCCCUCGCGGGGACCGAGGUUCGCGCAUCUGCAAGGAUGCUGGCGUAAUGGUCAUCAGCGACCCGUCUUGAAACACGGACCAAGGAGUCAAGGUUUUGCGCGAGUGUUUGGGUGUAAAACCCGCACGCGUAAUGAAAGUGAACGUAGGUGAGAGCUUCGGCGCAUCAUCGACCGAUCCUGAUGUAUUCGGAUGGAUUUGAGUAGGAGCGUUAAGCCUUGGACCCGAAAGAUGGUGAACUAUGCUUGGAUAGGGUGAAGCCAGAGGAAACUCUGGUGGAGGCUCGCAGCGGUUUCUGACGUGCAAAUCGAUCGUCAAAUCUGAGCAUGGGGGGCGAAAGACUAAUCGAACCAUCUAGUAGCUGGUUACCGCCGAG
rnacentral:rRNA from 1 species